rfam:Myotis davidii contig51958, whole genome shotgun sequence.
GAGACACCCCUAUGGAGCAGGACUUGCUUCAGUGGGGCUUUGGCGCUCACUGAAUCUGCUACUUAAGUAUGUCACU